rnacentral:lncRNA from 1 species
GACACACAAAAUCACAACAUCAUCAGUUCUUUUAUUAAGAACCAGAAGGUUUUCAUCAUACUUACAUAUAGACCUCACUACAAUAUUCACUCUUCUCUCUACAAAGAAUCCUUACUACAAACCUCUCAUCUAAUCUAUCCUCUAUUACACGAGAUUAAAAAGAAAACAACAGAUUCUAAGAACAAACCCUAGAGAGAAAAAGACGAAGAAGUAAAUUUGAUCUGUAUGUUCUAAAUGUUACACACACACAUAGAGAAAUAUAUACCCUAGACUAGUCAACCGGGUCACCAAUGGAUCAAAUACAACCCGCGUGUUUACAUUUCAACCAAAGCACAUCUUCAGUCCAAUAUUCCUGCAAAAAUACACAACAUACCCUUCUAUACAAAAACAUAACAGAAUAACAAAAAAACACAAAUAUUAAAGGAUACAUAAAAGGAUAUAAAUGAAUUAUAAGUUUGUAUUAUAAUAUCUUGAUAAUUCAACACCCCUCCUCAAACUUAUAAUUCAACUCAAUCAACACCGGUCCUGAAAAGGAUCAACCAUACCUAAACCUUUGCAAAUCCAUUCAUGUUGUCCAACUCCUAAUUGUUUAGUAAAAACAUCUGCUAGAUUAUACUCUGAACUNAUCUUGGUGCAUUUCAAAAGCUGAACUUACUUUAUGAAUUUCAACAAUUCCUUUUGAAACUCUAUCUCUUAUAAAAUGAGUAUCAACAUCAAAAUGUUUAGUUUUCUCAUGAAAUACUGGAUUAUGAACGAGUUUUAUUACUGACUCAUUAUCACAAAAGAUAGAAACAGGUGUUAAAUCUUUCAAACCAAUAUCAAACAACAAUUUUAAAAUCCACAUUAUUUCACAUGAAAUAACACCAAGUGCCCUGUAUUCUGAUUCUGUAGAGGACCUAGAAACUGUAUCCUGUUUUUUACUUUUCCAGGACACAAUAGUAUUACCAAGAAAAAUAACAUAACCUGUUACUGAUUUUCUGGACAUCAAACACUUAGCCCAAUCAGCAUCAACAAAUCCUUUUAAAACUAGAUUACCUUUAGUAAUAGAAAAACCCCUUCCAGGAUUUAACUUCAAAUAUCUAAGUAACCUAACAGCAACAUUAAAAUGAGAUUUUCUUGGAGAAUGCAUAAAUUGACUCAAUACUUGAACAGCAUAUGAAAUAUCUGGUCGAGUAAUGGUCAAAUAAAUAAGUUUUCCAACUAACUUUUGAAAAAGAACAACAUUAUGAACAAUUGAAUCAUUAACAUCAACACCUUCUUUUCUAACUACCACAUUACAAUCAAGAGGAGUUUUAACUGGUUUACAACCUAACAUUCCAAAUUCAUGCAACAGUUCCAUACAAUAUUUCCUCUGACACAAACAAACACCUUCAUUUAUAUCUAUAACUUCAAUACCUAAAAAAAACUUCAAUUUUCCCAAAUCUUUAAUUAAAAAUUUGGAUUUCAAAAAAUCUUUAACUUUGUUAAUUUCAUUAUCACAAUUCCCACUCAAAAUUAUGUCAUCAACAUAUACAAGUAGUAUAACAAUAUUACCACCAGAUCUCUUAACAAACAGUGAAAAAUCAUUUACACUUUGAACAAAACCAAAAUCAAGUAAAAAACCACACAACUUUUCAUUCCAUUUCCUAGGAGUCUGCUUCAGCCCGUAUAAAGAUUUCAAUAGCUUACAAACUUUAUUAUUAUCUUUAUUAUUAUAUCCAGGAGGCAAAGACAUAUAAACAACUUCUUCCAACUCACCAUACAGAAAAGCAUUAUUAAUAUCCAAUUGAAAUAAAUUCCAAUUAGAAUUAACUGCAAGUGAAAUAACCAAUCUAAUAGAAACCAUUUUUGCAACAGGUGAAAAAGUUUCAUCAAAAUCUAUACCUUCCCUCUGAUUAUACCCCUUAGCUACUAGCCUUGCCUUAAAUCUUUCUAUUUCACCAUUGGAUUUAUACUUUAUUUUAUAUACCCAUUUACAACUAAUGGGUUUCCUGUCAGGAGGUAAAUCACAAAUCUCCCAUGUAUUAUUUCUAUAUAAUGCUUCAAUUUCCUCAUUCAUAGCAUUUAUCCAAUUAGGAUCCAAUGAUGCUUGGUAAUAAGUUUGUGGUUCAACUGAUUUAUUUAAAUUUGUUGCAAAACAUUUAUUGUCAAAACUAAGAAAAGAAUAAUUAACUGACCGUUCAAUUCCAAAUUUAUAUUUUCCUUCUAUAAUAAAAUCAUUUAAUUUUUGAGGAAAUUUAGACUCACGACUAGAUUUUCUAAAAACAAGUUGUUGAGAAUCAGUAUGACUUUCCUCAGAAUUAUUAGUGGAGUCUGAUGCAACAACCUCAGGUUGCGAAACAGAAGUAUCACCACCACUUAUACCCUCCUGAUUAGGUAUUGUUGCAUCUAAAUGAGAAUUACCAUCAAUAACCAAAUCAGUUGCACCAGAUGGUUGGUUAAUAACUGAAUCACCAUCCUGAUUAUUACUCUCAGACUCUACUAUUUUGAUCAUCAUUAAUAUUUUCAGAGACCAAAAGUUCAUCAUAGGAAAAUGGAUCCCAAGAACCCUUAGCAUGUGAAAAAGUCGACUCAAGAGACUCAGAAAAUUCAAUAGAUUUAGAUGCCAACUUAAACGGAAACACAGUUUCAUAAAAUUUCACAUCCCUGGAAAAGAAACAAUAACCAUUGUCAAGACUAAAUAACUUGUAACCCUUUUUGCACUUGAAUAUCCAAUCAAAACACAUUUCUCAGAUCUUUCAGAAAAUUUAUCAGUAUUGUUCAACUUUGUAGCAAAAACUAAACACCCAAAAACACGAAUAUUAUCAUAAGCUGGAACUCGAUUAUAAACCAACUCAAAAGGUGUUUUCCCAUUUAAAACAGAGGAUGGAGUUCUAUUUAUUAAAAAAACUGCAGUCAGAAUAGAAUCUCCCUAGAACCUUUUAGGCAAACCAGCUUGAAACAACAAAGACCUAGCAACAUUUAAUAAAUGUCUAUGUUUCCGUUCAACCACUCCAUUUUGUUGUGGAGUGUGAACACAUGAUGUUUGAUGUAAAAUUCCUUUAGUUUUAAGAAAACUUGUCAUAUUUAUAUUAACAAAUUAUGUUCCAUUAUCAGAUCUAACAUUCUUUAAAUUGACAUUAAACUGAUUUUCUAACAACAUAACAAAUUCAUGAAAACAGGUAAACACUUCAUCUUUAGACUUCAUCAAAUAAACCCAUGUUGCUCUAGUAUAAUCAUCUACAAUAGUAAGAAAAAAUCUAUAACCACCAAUGGAUGUAACUCUAUAAGGACCCCAAACAUCUAAAUGAACAAGUUCCCCAAGACUAACUGACUUGUGUUCACUUAAAGGAAAAUGCUCUCUAGUUUGUUUGGCCUUAUGACAAACAUCACAAGGCAUAACUGGAUCAUUUUCAAAAUUCAAAAAAGGUUUUAAACAAUUAAGUGCCUUAUCAGCUGGAUGUCCCAUUCUAUUAUGCCAGGUCAAUUUUGAAACAAAACAUUUAUGAUUAUUAAACACUGAGUUUGACCUACCUAGCAAUUGAUUUUCCAAAUAAUAAAGACCUCCAAACUCUUUACCAGUCUUCACAGUCUCCAUUCACAGUGAAUCCUGAAUAAAGCAAUUAUUUUCAUCAAAAAUAACUUUACAUUUAUUCUCUUUACAAAUCUUAUGGACUGACAAAAGACUAACAUGAAAUUCUGGAAUAACAAAAACAUCAGAUAAACCAAUAGAAUUGGACAUAUUAAUAUUUCCAAUCUUAUCUAUUUUAGCAGUUGAACCAUUUGGAUGAUCAACUCUCAAAUUAAGUUUGGAAACAUCAACCAAAUCAGAAAGAUGUGAUUCAGAAGCAGUCAUAUGCUGACUAGCUCCUGAAUCAAUAAUCCAUUUUUCUUUAUUAAAAAAAACAUUAUUACAAAACAUACCUGCCAUAUUAGCAUUAACAGGUACUCCUUCAGAUAAUUCUUUUUCAUAAAGAAGAGACAUUAACUUUGUAUAUUGAUCAUUUGUUAGAAAAUGAUGAUCAGACUUAUCAGAAGAAACAGCAGAAACAUUAGCACUAUCACUAAUAUGAGGAGACACAGUAGACACAGUAGAAGAUUUAUUAAACUCUGAUUUGGGUUUAAAAUCCUUAGGAUACCCAAUAAGCUUAUAGAACUUUUCAAUAGUGUGUCCUUUAAUCCCAUAAUUCUUACAGAUUAAAUUCUGAUUUCUUCCUUUAAAUUUUUUAUUAUCAGAAAAUUUACCAGCAAAAGCAGAAGAGUGUUGAUUUUUAUUAGACAGAACUGAAACAUUUCCAUGUUUCUGAUUAGACUCUUCUCUAGAAAUAAUAGAAAAAGCAGUUCUUACAUCAGGCAAUGGUUCCAUUAUUAGAAUAUGACUUUUAACCUGGUUAUAUGAGUCAUCAAGACCACUAAGAAACUGCAUAAGCUUCAUUAGUUUAGAGUGAUUUUUAGAACUAGUAGCUGCUUCACAAGUGCAAUCAGGACACUUUGUUAAGCCAUCAAACUCUUUCCAUAGUCCAUCCAACUUAUUAAAAUAAUCAGACACUGACAGAGUACCUUGUGUGAGACUAUUAAUUUGUUGGUGAACAUUGAAAACAACUGACCCAUCAGCCUUAUAAUAGGUUUCACAAAGUUCAUUCCAUACAUCCAAAGCAAAUUCAGAACAGGCAUGUCCAAUAUAAAUGGAUUCAGAAAGAGAGUUAAGAAUCCAUGAACAAACUAUAGCAUUAACCCUAUCCCACUUAAGAGAUUUAGUGGUAUCUGUUUUAUCCUUUAAUUCAGUUCCUUCAAUAAAACCUUGUUUAUUUCUGGCUUUAAGAGCCCUAGUCAUAGAACUUUUCCAAACACGAAAAUUUUCAGUACCAAGAAGUUUGAAGCUUAUAAUAGUUGUUAUAGAAUGAUCAGAAGGAUGCAAAUAAAGAGGAUCAUCAAAAUCUAUAGCAUCUAUUUUUGUAGAUGACUCAGGUGGUGUAUCAGUCAUGAUUAUAAAAAAAACAAUCAAGACUCCAGAAAAACAAGAACAAGAAUUAGAGAAAAAAGUGUGCGAUACUUCCAAAGAUCCUCAAAAACAGUGCUCAGCAAGCAACAAUGUAGUUCCGAUGAAUCUCUAUCACAGAUUCACCGCUGAAAACCAACUUGGGCAUUCAAAUGCCAGAACCAAUCUGAUUUUAGAACCUUGUUUGCACGAUCUUAACGUUGACCGUUGAGAUAGCGUUGACCGUUAGGAUUAACCCUAAGCGUUUACAACUAUCACAAACGUUUACUCUUAAGACGUGACAAGAGAACAACCAGAUUGAUGAUCACCUCACAAUCUCAACAGAUCGUAACAACUCUUUCAGAUCACAAGAUCCCAGGAGAAAAAAGGAAAACACAAAGAAUCAGACCAGAUCUAUACACAAGACCUGAAACCCUAACUCGAAGAACCAGAUCUAGACACAGAUCUGAAAUCCUAACUCGAAGAACCAGAUCUAGAUGCAGAUCUGAAACCCUAACUCGAAUCUAGUUAGAAAACCAAAACAAAACAGUCGCAACCAGGCUCUGAUACCAUGAAAAGAAAUCAAGACACACAAAAUCACAACAUCAUCAGUUCUUUUAUUAAGAACCAGAAGGUUUUCAUCAUACUUACAUAUAAACCUCACUACAAUAUUCACUCUUCUCUCUACAAAGAAUCCUUACUACAAACCUCUCAUCUAAUCUAUCCUCUAUUACACGAGAUUAAAAAGAAAACAACAGAUUCUAAGAACAAACCCUAGAGAGAAAAAGACGAAGAAGACGAAGAAGUAAAUUUGAUAUGUAUGUUCUAAAUGUUACACACACACAUAGAGAAAUAUAUACCCUAGACUAGUCAA